rnacentral:rRNA from 1 species
AGCGAACGCUGGCGGCAGGCUUAACACAUGCAAGUCGAGCGGGCGUAGCAAUACGUCAGCGGCAGACGGGUGAGUAACGCGUGGGAACGUACCUUUUGGUUCGGAACAACCCAGGGAAACUUGGGCUAAUACCGGAUAAGCCCUUACGGGGAAAGAUUUAUCGCCAAAAGAUCGGCCCGCGUCUGAUUAGCUAGUUGGUGAGGUAACGGCUCACCAAGGCGACGAUCAGUAGCUGGUCUGAGAGGAUGAUCAGCCACAUUGGGACUGAGACACGGCCCAAACUCCUACGGGAGGCAGCAGUGGGGAAUAUUGGACAAUGGGCGCAAGCCUGAUCCAGCCACGCCGCGUGAGUGAUGAAGGCCUU